rnacentral:rRNA from 1 species
GUAGGUGGCAAGCGUUGUCCGGAGUUAUUGGGCGUAAAGCGCGCGCAGGCGGUUCUUUAAGUCUGAUGUGAAAGCCCACGGCUCAACCGUGGAGGGUCAUUGGAAACUGGAGAACUUGAGUACAGAAGAGGAAAGCGGAAUUCCACGUGUAGCGGUGAAAUGCGUAGAGAUGUGGAGGAACACCAGUGGCGAAGGCGGCUAUCUGGUCUGUAACUGACGCUGAGGCGCGAAAGCGUGGGGGAGCAAACAGGAUUAGAUACCCUGGUAGUCCACGCCGUAAACGAUGAGUGCUAAGUGUUAGGGGGUUUCCGCCCCUUAGUGCUGCAGCUAACGCAUUAAGCACUCCGCCUGGGAGUACGGCCGCAAGGCUG